AUGUGCUGCUGCCUCCACCCCCCCCCCCCGACGUUGUUUUCCUGCUCCAAAUCCGCAGAGUUUUGCCUCAAAAAAGCCCCAAAAGCGGGGAUGGGCCGCAGGUGGGGAGGGGGAUUUGGGAUCUUCCCGGGAGGCUCCUCUGCCUCCCCUCGGGAGGAGAAUUCCAGAGUCAGGUUUGGAGAUUGUCCUGGAGCUUCUGGGGGGAGAAAAGGCGAUUUUGGAGCUCCGUGGAUGGGGAGGGAAGCGGGAAUUUCAUGGGAAUUUCACGGGAAUUUCACGCUGGGAUUGCGGCUUUUCCCUGCUCCUGCUCCAGUCCCAUUUUCCCCACAGAUCCCAGGGCGAUUCCCGGGGUUUUUAUCCCAAAAAUCCCAGCCUGGGCUGCAGGAUCCAGCCUCCCUCUGGAAGUUCAGCCCUGUUUUCCCUGACCCAGCUGCUUUUUCCCUGAUUUUUCCAUGGUCUGGGGCAGAUCCUGAGGUGGAAACGGAUCCAGAACCUUCCGUGGUGUUCUGGAAAAGCCCCAAAAUCAGGAAAUCUCAUCCCAUUCCCAAUUUUUGGAAAAAUGCAGGGGAAACUUGGGAAGCAUCUGUACCAAGGCCUGGAAUUCCCCCUCUGGCGCUGCUUUUUUGGGAUUUGAUCCCAAUUCCUCGGGCUCGUCCUUCCCACGCCGAAAUGGGGCUGGAAAGGGAUUUUGGGGUGUCCUUGGAUAAGGAAAAACCCCAAAAAUCCCUGGAAAAGCAGCUCUGGGGAACUGGAGCCCAUUCCCUGAUCCACGAGGAGCCGGCUCGAGGCAGGAAUCUCCCAAAUUCCGGGGUGGGAAAGGGGAAAACCGAUGGAUUUGGGGGUUCUGAGGAGCUGGGGUGGAUCCAGAGCUCCUGGCACAUCCCUCCAUGGAACCCCAGAAUUCCCAAGGUUCCCCUUCCCUCGCUUUUUAACCUCAGGAUGGGAUUUCUUGGGGGGUGGGAAAUCUGGAAUUCCUUUGGGAUCCCAGGGAUUUCACCUGGAAUUCCUUUGGGAUUCCAGAGAAUUUUCCUGGAAUUCCUUAGGGUUUCCACGGUGUUCACCUGGAAUUCCUUUGGGAUCCUGGGGAAUUUCCCUCAAAUUCCUUUGGGAUCCCGGGGAAUUUCCCUCAAAUUCCUUUGGGAUCUCGGGUCAUUACCUGGAAUUCCUUUGGAAUCCUGGGUUAUUACCUGCAAUUCCCUUGGGAUCCCAGGGUUAUUACCUGGAAUUCCUUUGGGAUCCCAGCUCAUUACCUGGAAUUCCUUUGGGAUCCUGAGGAAUUCACCUGGAAUCCCUUUAAGAUCCCGGGUCUUAACCUGGAAUCCCUUUGGAAUCCUGGGGAAUUCACCUGGAAUUCCUUUGGGAUCCUGGGUCAUUACCUGGAAUUCCUUUGGGAUCCCGGGGUUAUUACCUAGAAUCCUUUUGGGAUCCCAUCUCACUACUUGGAAUUCCUUUGGGAUCCCAGCUCAUUACCUGGAAUUCCUUUGGGAUCCCAGCUCAUUACCUGCAAUUCCCUUGGGAUCCCAGGGUUAUUACCUGGAAUUCCUUUGGGAUCCUGGGUCAUUACCUGGAAUUCCUUUGGGAUCUCAGCUCAUUACCUGCAAUUCCUUUGGGAUCUCAGCUCAUUACCUGCAAUUCCUUUGGGAUCCCAGGGUUAUUACCUGGAAUUCCUUUGGGAUCCCAGCUCACUACUUGGAAUUCCUUUGGGAUCUCAGCUCAUUACCUGCAAUUCCCUUGGGAUCCCAGGGUUAUUACCUGGAAUUCCUUUGGGAUCUCAGCUCAUUACCUGCAAUUCCUUUGGGAUCUCAGCUCAUUACCUGCAAUUCCUUUGGGAUCCCAGCUCACGACCUGGAAUUCCUUUGGGAUCUC
rnacentral:lncRNA from 1 species